rnacentral:sRNA from 1 species
GCCAGGUGUGGUGGUGCAUGCCUGUAAUCUCAGCCACUUCGGAGGCAGAGACAGGGUUAUCUUAAGUUUGAAUCCAGCUUGGAAACUUAGCAAGAGUCUGUCUCAA